UGUAACUUGCAAGCAAAAUAGAGCUGGUUAUAUAUAUUACACUUUGCUUACCUCUCUUUGAGAUGGUCUUAGGCUUGAAGCGAGACCAUUUCUAAGCAAAUUAAAACUACGUCAUCCCUUGGCGUGUUUGUAGUUUGAAUGUUCAUUUUUUUGUGUUUUUUGGCUUCCAAGAAUUCUCACAUACCCAUAUGAAAAAGCACAUAAAACCCCCUUCAUAAAUAGAUGAAUAAGAAACUAUAUAUAAUUCCAGAGAUCAAAUUUUCUUGGCUUAACAUUAUUAUUUAUAUUUUUUUCUUAUUGGUGAAUUCAAGAAAUUAAAGAUCAAUUAUGUGGCAGAUACGAUCUUGGGCUUCUUACAAAUUCCGAAGUAUGCUUGAGUUAAUUCGUCCCGGUAUAUCUGCUUUCUCAUCCUCCAUGAAUACUGUCUAUCACAGAAACUCUAAUUCAUCAGGUAUGCCGAUGGCUAAGUUUGGAUAUGGUUUUCCAAAGCACCAAGGACUGCAGUUGUUCGGCAACACCACCGGUAGCAAAACUUUGACAACAUUUGGUACCAACAUGGUAAAGGAUGGCAAUAAGGAGCAAGUUCCACCACCAGUGCCUCCUCAGAACAACAUUCUUUAUUGGGCAAGAUGGGUUUUGGGCUCUAUAUUAACAUUGCUGCUGCCAUUUUGGAAGCAAUACUGGGGAAAACUACAAAGAAUAGAAGGAAAGGUAGAAAUGGUUGCUGAAGAGGUGGAAAGUGUAGCAGAGGUGGUGGAAAAGGUGGCAAUUAAAGCAGAGAAAGUGUCAUCAGAGGUUGCAAAUGUACUUCCAGAUAAUGGAAAACUGAAGGAAACAGCUUUGAUUGUAGAACACAUUUCAAAAAUAGCAGCCCAAGAUGCCCAACUAACUCUGGAUAUCAUUCACAAGGUUUAUAUAUAUUUUCCAAACCAAUUAAUUCUAAUUAAUUUUGACAAGUAAUUCUAUGGUAUUCCAGGAAUACAUACCCUCAAAUUCAUAAUAGAAUGGACUCCACGUAUGUUUACGAGUGUGGAUGCAUUAAAGCAUGACUUCGAAGAAUUGGAGACUUUAGUUGAGCCUGUUGUCGAUAAGAUUGUGGUAAAUCAUGAAUCUGAUGGAAAGUAAUUAAUUUGGGUAUUGAUCAUAAUAUCAUUUUUUUCCUUGUAAUGUAUUUUCAUAAUUUGGGCAACCGCAUUUUGCCCAUGUGAAUCGUACAACUUUUGUGCUUUGUUCUUUCUACUACAAAACCGUUUGAACUAUUAUUAUUAUUUUUU